AGCGAACGCUGGCGGCAGGCUUAACACAUGCAAGUCGAGCGGGCACUUUCGGGUGUCAGCGGCGGACGGGUGAGUAACGCGUGGGAACGUGCCCUCUGGUUCGGAAUAACUCAGGGAAACUUGAGCUAAUACCGGAUACGCCCUUUUGGGGAAAGGCUUGCUGCCGGAGGAUCGGCCCGCGUCUGAUUAGCUAGUUGGUGAGGUAACGGCUCACCAAGGCGACGAUCAGUAGCUGGUCUGAGAGGAUGAUCAGCCACACUGGGACUGAGACACGGCCCCGACUCCUACGGGAGGCAGCAGUGGGGAAUAUUGGACAAUGGGCGCAAGCCUGAUCCAGCCAUGCCGCGUGAGUGAUGAAGGCCUUAGGGUUGUAAAGCUCUUUUAUCCGGGACGAUAAUGACGGUACCGGAGGAAUAAGCCCCGGCUAACUUCGUG
rnacentral:rRNA from 1 species